AGAAAUGAAUAGGUGAUAGAUAUCCUCUACCUUAACAUUUGUAGAGAAGGUCCACGAAUGACAUGAAUACUUUGCAUUUUGUGAAACACAUUAUGCCAAAUGAGUAUGUCGCGCAUACGUUGAACCUAAAUCGCGGGAGUAAAUUCGCAUGUUGUGUGUACGUUAUAUCUAUAUGAUGGUUGCAAUUGAAUUUCUUUUUUCCCAUGUCACAUCCUCGGCCCUGUACAUUUGUGUGUUACGCAGUGUAAACCCCAUCUUGUGGGUCACUAAGGCAAAAUGGAGGCUCUGUGUGUGUGUGUGUGUGUGUUUGCCGUCCCCGGGUUUGAGUGAACUGCGGCCAAGUAGCCAGAUUAGCGUGGAUUAGCAGGCAUUUAAAAUAGUCACGUUAUCCCGGCGGCAGGAGCGCUUGCAGAGUCAGCGCCAACAACGGCUACGGCCCCGUACGCCCCCCCACUCCCCUUUCAAGAGCACCCAGACGCGUUAAGGGACUCCCUGCUGAUAAUAAUAGCAGGCAUGUGAACGCUGGACUCUCUGCACUGACACUAGAAGUGUUUUUGUGGGCAACAGCCGUCAGUGGGAAUUCUUGUACACAUGUACGUCGUGUCAAUGCCAGACUCUCGGGAUUUUUGGUGUACAACAAUGUCAGCUCUUUCAUCACUUGUUGGAACAGUUGGAAGUAUUUAGCAUUACCUGUGUUGACCUGACGGUCGCUAGUGGCAACCGGCGGAGCGACGCACCGCGGCGGACAAUGAAUCCGCCGCCGAGGCGUCACGCUCGGCGGAGGCGGCGACGAAGCACCGCGGCGGUCCCCCAACCUGCAGCAGGUGGAUAAAAUAGAUCCGAAAAGUUGCCGUUGUGGUCCUCCGCCGGUGGGUGUCUGCAAUGCGCGGCUCCAUGAUGCUGGAGGCUCCUCCGAGGUUCUCAUUCCGCCCCCCUCUUUUCCGAACGUAAUUCUUUUCCUUAAUAACGGAACGAGGGGUAACGAUCGUCCUCUUCUCCCCACAAAACGGCUCCGUCAACUCCGGCGAGCCCCCGGCUCGGUGCGUACAUCUCCGCCGCCUGGCCGGCAAAUGCCCACUGGCUCCCGGCAACCGCAUUCCACCGUCCCCGGCGGUGAAUCGCGAGCCGAGCGUGACGGAAAUAACCGAAGUACAACCCGAGACGCGGGCCAAGGCGGAGCCCGCGUGGACAUGGAGACAGCAACCUCUGUUGGACAGGAGCGUGAAACAAGACCGAGCGAUUGGACAACACUUUAUGUUCUCCUUGUUGCUGAGUCGUCACUCCUCGGCUGGGGAAAUACAGCGAGCUCCUGAUGAGCCCAACG